rnacentral:rRNA from 1 species
UACGUAGGUGACAAGCGUUGUCCGGAUUUACUGGGCGUAAAGAGCGCGCAGGCGGUCGUUCAAGUCGAGUGUGAAAGCCCCCGGCUCAACUGGGGAGGGUCACUCGAUACUGAUCGACUCGAAGGCAGGAGAGGGAAGUGGAAUUCCCGGUGUAGUGGUGAAAUGCGUAGAUAUCAGGAAGAACACCAACGGCGAAGGCAGCUCGCUGGGACGGUACUGACGCUGAGACGCGAAAGCGUGGGGAGCGAACAGG